rnacentral:rRNA from 1 species
UACGAAGGGUGCAAACGUUGCUCGGAAUUAUUGGGCGUAAGGCGCACGUAGGCGGCUUGGCAAGUCGGAUGUGAAAUCCCUCGGCUCAACCAAGGAAGUGCAUCCGAAACUGCUGAGCUUGAGUACUUAAGAAGAUCGCGGAAUUCCCGGUGUAGAGGUGAAAUUCGUAGAUAUCGGGAGGAACACCAGUGGCGAAGGCGGCGAUCUGGGAAGAUACUGACGCUGAGGUGCGAAAGCGUGGGGAGCAAACAGG